AGAUACAAAGGAAUUCCAGAAGAAUAGACAGAUUGAUUGCUAAUUGGUUUCGACGCCUGAAGCUAGGGUUUUAACACGAGGAAGAUAGACCUCCUCCAUUUUUAUUCUCAGCAGUUGAAAUCGAUUCCCAAUUGCAGUGCUUCUCCAUGUAAUUUUGAUCAUCGGUGAACUAAUUGUAGCUUUGAGAGAACUUACCUAACAAUUUUGCUAGCUAUUCUGGUUCAAAAGCAAGAUGGAAAUGAAAUCGCCUGAGAAACUCAAUACAGUCGUUGUCUUGAAACAGCCAGAUAGCAGCCGUUGGCAGAAGAUUAAUACAUGCAAUGGCUUCUAGUUGGCUAUUUCCCAAAUAAGCUUAUAAACCCAAGAUGCGGACUGAAGAC